rnacentral:rRNA from 1 species
UACGUAGGGGGCAAGCGUUGUCCGGAUUUAUUGGGCGUAAAGAGCGUGUAGGCGGCCAUGUAGGUCCGUUGUGAAAACUCGAGGCUCAACCUCGAGACGCCGAUGGAAACCAUGUGGCUAGAGUCCGGAAGAGGAGAGUGGAAUUCCUGGUGUAGGCGGUGAAAUGCGCAGAUAUCAGGAAGAACACCCGUGGCUAAGGCGGC